CGACGCCGCGUGGGGAUGAAGCUUUUCGGAGUGUAAACCCCUUUCGACCCGGUACGAAACGCCCGGCAAGGGCUUGACGGUACGGGUAUAAGAAGCCCCGGCUAACUACGUGC
rnacentral:rRNA from 1 species